rnacentral:rRNA from 1 species
UACGUAGGACGCAAGCGUUGUCCGGAAUUAUUGGGCGUAAAGAGCUCGUAGGCGGUUUGUCACGUCUGCUGUGAAAACCCGAGGCUUAACCUCGGGCCUGCAGUGGGUACGGGCAGACUAGAGUGUGGUAGGGGAGACCGGAAUUCCUGGUGUAGCGGUGGAAUGCGCAGAUAUCAGGAGGAACACCGAUGGCGAAGGCAGGUCUCUGGGCCACAACUGACGCUGAGGAGCGAAAGCGUGGGGAGCGAACAGG